rnacentral:rRNA from 1 species
GACGAACGCUGGCGGCGUGCCUAACACAUGCAAGUCGAACGAGGUCCAAGGGAGCUUGCUCCCUGACGACCUAGUGGCGAACGGGUGAGUAACACGUGAGAAACCUGCCUCGGAGUGGGGAAUAACUCGGGGAAACUCGAGCUAAUACCGCAUACCUUCACAUGAUCGCAUGGUCGAGUGAAGAAAGAACUUCGCUCUGAGAGGGUCUCGCGGCCUAUCAGCUAGUUGGUGGGGUAACGGCCUACCACGGCAACGACGGGUAGCUGGUUUGAGAGGACGAUCAGCCACACUGGGACUGAGACACGGCCCAGACUCCUACGGGAGGCAGCAGUGGGGAGUCCUGCGCAAUGGGCGAAAGCCUGACGCAGCAACGCCGCGUGCGGGAUGACGGCCUUCGUGGUUGUAAACCGCUUUCAGCAGGGACGAAAUUGACGGUACCUGCAGAAGAAGCCCCGGCUAACUACGUGCCAGCCGCCGCCGUAA